CUUGCUCUUCUUGGAUGAGUUGCGAACGGGUGAGUAACGCGUAGGUAACCUGCCUUGUAGCGGGGGAUAACUAUUGGAAACGAUAGCUAAUACCGCAUAACAAUGGAUGACACAUGUCAUUUAUUUGAAAGGGGCAAUUGCUCCACUACAAGAUGGACCUGCGUUGUAUUAGCUAGUAGGUGAGGUAAUGGCUCACCUAGGCGACGAUACAUAGCCGACCUGAGAGGGUGAUCGGCCACACUGGGACUGAGACACGGCCCAGACUCCUACGGGAGGCAGCAGUAGGGAAUCUUCGGCAAUGGGGGCAACCCUGACCGAGCAACGCCGCGUGAGUGAAGAAGGUUUUCGGAUCGUAAAGCUCUGUUGUAAGUCAAGAACGGGUGUGAGAGUGGAAAGUUCACACUGUGACGGUAGCUUACCAGAAAGGGACGGCUAACUACGUGCCAGCAGCCGCGGUAAUACGUAGGUCCCGAGCGUUGUCCGGAUUUAUUGGGCGUAAAGCGAGCGCAGGCGGUUUGAUAAGUCUGAAGUUAAAGGCUGUGGCUCAACCAUAGUUCGCUUUGGAAACUGUCAAACUUGAGUGCAGAAGGGGAGAGUGGAAUUCCAUGUGUAGCGGUGAAAUGCGUAGAUAUAUGGAGGAACACCGGUGGCGAAAGCGGCUCUCUGGUCUGUAACUGACGCUGAGGCUCGAAAGCGUGGGGAGCGAACAGGAUUAGAUACCCUGGUAGUCCACGCCGUAAACGAUGAGUGCUAGGUGUUGGAUCCUUUCCGGGAUUCAGUGCCGCAGCUAACGCAUUAAGCACUCCGCCUGGGGAGUACGACCGCAAGGUUGAAACUCAAAGGAAUUGACGGGGGCCCGCACAAGCGGUGGAGCAUGUGGUUUAAUUCGAAGCAACGCGAAGAACCUUACCAGGUCUU
rnacentral:rRNA from 1 species